rnacentral:rRNA from 1 species
ACGGGUGCGUAACGCGUAUGCAAUCUACCUUUUACAGAGGGAUAGCCCAGAGAAAUUUGGAUUAAUACCUCAUAGUAUGUGAGAAUCGCAUGGUUUUCACAUUAAAGUUCCAACGGUAAAAGAUGAGCAUGCGUCCCAUUAGCUAGAUGGUAAGGUAACGGCUUACCAUGGCAACGAUGGGUAGGGGUCCUGUGAGGGAGAUCCCCCACACUGGUACUGAGACACGGACCAGACUCCUACGGGAGGCAGCAGUGAGGAAUAUUGGACAAUGGGCGCAAGCCUGAUCCAGCCAUGCCGCGUGCAGGAUGACGGUCCUAUGGAUUGUAAACUGCUUUUGUACAGGAAGAAACACUCCCUCGUGAGGGAGCUUGACGGUACUGUAAGAAUAAGGAUCGGCUAACUCCGUGCCAGCAGCCGCGGUAAUACGGAGGAUCCAAGCGUUAUCCGGAAUCAUUGGGUUUAAAGGGUCCGUAGGCGGUUUAAUAAGUCAGUGGUGAAAGCCCAUCGCUCAACGGUGGAACGGCCAUUGAUACUGUUAAACUUGAAUUAUUAGGAAGUAACUAGAAUAUGUAGUGUAGCGGUGAAAUGCUUAGAGAUUACAUGGAAUACCAAUUGCGAAGGCAGGUUACUACUAAUGGAUUGACGCUGAUGGACGAAAGCGUGGGUAGCGAACAGGAUUAGAUACCCUGGUAGUCCACGCCGUAAACGAUGGAUACUAGCUGUUGGGAGCAAUCUCAGUGGCUAAGCGAAAGUGAUAAGUAUCCCACCUGGGGAGUACGUUCGCAAGAAUGAAACUCAAA